rnacentral:rRNA from 1 species
GACGAACGCUGGCGGCGUGCUUAACACAUGCAAGUCGAACGGAAAGGCCCUGCUUUUGUGGGGUGCUCGAGUGGCGAACGGGUGAGUAACACGUGAGUAUCCUGCCCUUGACUUUGGGAUAACUUCAGGAAACUGGGGCUAAUACCGGAUAGGAGCUCCUGCUGCAUGGUGGGGGUUGGAAAGUUUCGGCGGUUGGGGAUGGACUCGCGGCUUAUCAGCUUGUUGGGGGGGUAGUGGCUUACCAAGGCUUCGACGGGUAGCCCGCCUGAGAGGGUGACCGGCGACAUUGGGACUGAGGUACGGCCCAGACUCCUACGGGAGGCAGCAGUGGGAAAUAUUGCACAAUGGGCGGAAGCCUGAUGCAGCAACGCCGCGUUCGGGAUGACGGCCUUCGGGUUGUAAACCGCUUUCGCCUGUGACGAAGCGUGAGUGACGGUAAUGGGUAAAGAAGCACCGGCUAACUACGUG